rnacentral:rRNA from 1 species
AGUCGAACGAGUUCUGAUUAUUGAAGGGUGCUUGCAUCUUGAUUUAAUUUUGAACGAGUGGCGGACGGGUGAGUAACACGUGGGUAACCUGCCCUUAAGUGGGGGAUAACAUUUGGAAACAGAUGCUAAUACCGCAUAAAUCCAAGAACCGCAUGGUUCUUGGCUGAAAGAUGGCGUAAGCUAUCGCUUUUGGAUGGACCCGCGGCGUAUUAGCUAGUUGGUGAGGUAACGGCUCACCAAGGCAAUGAUACGUAGCCGAACUGAGAGGUUGAUCGGCCACAUUGGGACUGAGACACGGCCCAAACUCCUACGGGAGGCAGCAGUAGGGAAUCUUCCACAAUGGACGCAAGUCUGAUGGAGCAACGCCGCGUGAGUGAAGAAGGCUUUCGGGUCGUAAAACUCUGUUGUUGGAGAAGAAUGGUCGGCAGAGUAACUGUUGUCGGCGUGACGGUAUCCAACCAGAAAGCCACGGCUAACUACGUGCCAGCAGCCGCGGUAAUACGUAGGUGGCAAGCGUUAUCCGGAUUUAUUGGGCGUAAAGCGAGCGCAGGCGGUUUUUUAAGUCUGAUGUGAAAGCCCUCGGCUUAACCGAGGAAGUGCAUCGGAAACUGGGAAACUUGAGUGCAGAAGAGGACAGUGGAACUCCAUGUGUAGCGGUGAAAUGCGUAGAUAUAUGGAAGAACACCAGUGGCGAAGGCGGCUGUCUGGUCUGUAACUGACGCUGAGGCUCGAAAGCAUGGGUAGCGAACAGGAUUAGAUACCCUGGUAGUCCAUGCCGUAAACGAUGAAUGCUAGGUGUUGGAGGGUUUCCGCCCUUCAGUGCCGCAGCUAACGCAUUAAGCAUUCCGCCUGGGGAGUACGACCGCAAGGUUGAAACUCAAAGGAAUUGACGGGGGCCCGCACAAGCGGUGGAGCAUGUGGUUUAAUUCGAAGCAACGCGAAGAACCUUACCAGGUCUUGACAUCUUUUGAUCACCUGAGAGAUCAGGUUUCCCCUUCGGGGGCAAAAUGACAGGUGGUGCAUGGUUGUCGUCAGCUCGUGUCGUGAGAUGUUGGGUUAAGUCCCGCAACGAGCGCAACCCUUAUGACUAGUUGCCAGCAUUUAGUUGGGCACUCUAGUAAGACUGCCGGUGACAAACCGGAGGAAGGUGGGGAUGACGUCAAAUCAUCAUGCCCCUUAUGACCUGGGCUACACACGUGCUACAAUGGAUGGUACAACGAGUUGCGAGACCGCGAGGUCAAGCUAAUCUCUUAAAGCCAUUCUCAGUUCGGACUGUAGGCUGCAACUCGCCUACACGAAGUCGGAAUCGCUAGUAAUCGCGGAUCAGCACGCCGCGGUGAAUACGUUCCCGGGCCUUGUACACACCGCCCGUCACACCAUGAGAGUUUGUAACACCCGAAGCCGGUGGCGUAACCCUUUUAGGGAGCGAGCC